CAGAGUGCAGAUGCUGCUAAAUUUAGGGCUAGUGCAGGUGCAUUAAAUCUAUUGGGCCAUACCAAACAUAUUUUUAAUCGCCUACCAGAUUUAAAUUUACCUCUGGGUCCCUCGGAGGUUGGUUUUCAAGCCUUACAGGCCCAUAUCAAUGCUGAUCUGAAUGUGAAGAAAGAGCAAGAUAUUUUGAAUAUUGAUCUCAACAUGACAGUACAGAAUUUGUUUGUGAAUUAUGCACCCAAUGCUGAUGAAAGCGAGCUUGUAGAUGAGAGUAUUGAAAUCGUAAAUGAAGGAGAACGUAAAAUCCAAUCUCUUGCUUUGGCACCUAUCCAGGAGAACAAGGUUCUGUCACUCAAUGAUCCGAUUCAACCUGACAAGCUGGACACUCAGCCUAAUAUCACUAAUGGUCCUUCAAAGAAUGUUGUUGUGGGCACUAGGGAGGACUCUUCUAACCCCAUGCUCGAGAUGGCUCCCCUUGGUUUCUGUA